rnacentral:rRNA from 1 species
GAUGAACGCUGGCGGCGUGCCUAAUACAUGCAAGUCGAGCGAACGGACGAGAAGCUUGCUUCUCUGAUGUUAGCGGCGGACGGGUGAGUAACACGUGGAUAACCUACCUAUAAGACUGGGAUAACUUCGGGAAACCGGAGCUAAUACCGGAUAAUCUUUUGAACCGCAUGGUUCAAAAGUGAAAGACGGUCUUGCUGUCACUUAUAGAUGGAUCCGCGCUGCAUAGUCAGUUUGUUAGGUUACCGCUUACCAAGGGAAAGAGUGAUUGCCGACCGGGGAGGGGGAUCGGCCACACGGGAACGGAGACACGGUCCAGACUCCUAAGGGAGGCAGCAGUAGGGAAUCUUACGCAAUGGGCGAAAGCCUGACGGAGCAACGCCGCGUGAGUGAUGAAGGUCUUCGGAUCGUAAAACUCUGUUAUUAGGGAAGAACAUAUGUGUAAGUAACUGUGCACAUCUUGACGGUACCUAAUCAGAAAGCCACGGCUAACUACGUG